GUCUACACCAGUUCUCGUGCUGGAAAAAAGAGGGGCUCUAGAAAUGGGUGAAAUUUGGUAAUAGCCCCAAGUUAAAAGGGGUCUCUUCGGACAGGUUGCACGUUGAACGAGACUUCUGAGUUGGAUAACUGAUGAUUCAUACCUUUGCUAAGGAGAAGUAAGGAGAAAGGUUUGCUUUUUGAUCAUACUUGAACUAGAAAAGGAAGAGGGAAGCAAGUGCCCUAAGGAGCCACGGGUUGUAUUUCUAGUAGAAAUCAAAGUGCUCUGAAAGGACACAGAAAGAGUGCUUGAGCAUGAGCCUGGUGGAGGGUGCAGAGAGAGAGAAAAAAAUCCUCAAGCAGACUCCCUGCUAAGCAUAGAGGCUAACUCAGGGCUCCAUCUCAGGACCCUGAGAUGAUAACCUGAGCAGAAAUCAAGAGCUGGCCACUUAACUGACUGAGCCAUCCAGGUGCCCCAUGAUUUCUUCUACAGAGAAGAGAAAGCUGAAUUUUCAAGGAUGCUCUCUAGCAUUUCAGCUCACAGUGCAACUGGAUUAACCUGUUAACUUUGCUGAAGAAGUCAGAAGCUAUGAAGAGCAGCCCGCUGUGGGAGACGCUGAUGGCCCUGGCUGACUCCAGAGUGGAGUGAAUUGCCACCUUGCUGACCAAGAAAUGAUCGAUGCCUGGCACCUGGCAGUGAAUGGGGCGCCCUGCAAUGAU